ACUGCCGCGACCCUAGGGACCCCCCGGACCCCCAGGGUCUGCCCCACGCUGUGGGAGGGCGCCUCGCUGUUCCAACAGCUGUACCAUCAGUGCCCAACCCGUGUGCUCCGGCUCACAGAAACCUGUCCUGGCCAAGGCAGACCUGUCCCACAGUUUUAUCUGUGCCACAUGUUUUCAAAGAGUAUUUUAUGAUGUAAUGGGAAGAGACAAAAGCAGCGAAGAAGCAAAAUCACAGACGCGGUCAAAAAAAUUUGGAGGCCCAGAGAGACGGAGCAACUGGCCUAAGGCCACACAGCUAGCAAUCUGUAGAGCUGGGACUGGUACCUUGGUCUGUCUAAAUUUUGAAUAAGCUAGAGGGGAGAUAAUCUUCACACUGUCAUCACCAUCACCACUACUCUGGAGAUUAGCCAGUGCUCCUGGAAAGAGGUAUCCGUUUGGAGAGGAGGAGGUAACUUAUUGCUGAUUGAAGAUUAUUUGACCAUUUACAUGGAAAACCCACAAGAAUCAACUGAAAAAGUGAUUGAAAAUGACAAAAUAACUGAGUAAGGUAACUGGAUUCAAAAUUAGUGUUCUAUUAUCAAUGGCCUUCGAAUACACAGACAACAACCAGAACUAAAAUAUAAUGGAUAUAAGACUGCAUUUGCAAAAGCAACCCAGAAAUAAACUUUUUAAAAAUGUGCAAAACCAUUUUAAAUGCUGCCAAAGGAUACAAAUGUGAACUUAACACCACAUUCUUGGGUUAAAAAUCUCAACAUGAUAAGGUUGCCAGCUCUCCUAAAUUAAGCUACACAUCAACACAAUCGCAAUGAAAAUACUAACAGAAUUUCUUGUGGAACCAUACCAGUUGAUUUUAAAGUUGAUAUGGAAAAAUACACAUGCAUCCAGGAAAAGUUUGAAAACAGAAAUGUAAAAAGCAGAGAUAACCCCAUCCAUUAUUUACUUGUAUUUUAAAUCUAUUAUAAAGCUAAAACAAUUAAACCUAUGGCACAAGUACAUGAAUAGCUAUAUAAUUCAGAAAUUACUAGAAGUCACCCAAUAUAUAUAGGAAGUUACCAUAUGAUCAAGUUGGCACUUAAAACAGGAUUUAUCCAUAUUUGGUAUUGGAACAAUUGGCUACCCAUCUGUAAAAGAAAUUAAUUUAGAUCCUCACUUCACAUGUUAUACCAAAAUAAAUUCUACAUGAAUCAAAGGUUUAAAUGAAUUCCUUAAAGAACCAGAAGAAAGAAGGGGAUAUGGGAAUGAUCAUCUAUUGAGCUCAAGGCCUGGUGACAUAAGCAGGCCCAGCUCAUGGAUUGCUGGCUGAAUAAUGGAUCGACUGACUCUCAGGUCCUGUACUAGAUGCUGCAGCAGUGGCUGCCGCUGCCAAUUGCAGGCACUGGACUAGAUUUCCCACAUGUCUUAGUCCAUUUGUGUUGCUAUAAAAGAAUACCACCAGAGGCGGCCAGGCAGAGUGUCUCAUGUCUGUAAUCCCAGCACUUUAGAAGGCUGAAGCAGGAAGAUCAAGAGGUCAGGAGAUCGAGACCAUCUUGGCUAACAUGGUGAAACCCCGUCUCUACUAAAAAUACAAAAAAUUAGCCAGGUGUGGCACACACCUGUAGUCCCAGCUACUCGAGAGGCUAAGGCAGGAGAAUCACUUGAAUCCAGGAGGAGGAGGAGGUUGCAGUGAGCCGAGAUGGCGCCAUUGCACUCCAGCCUAGGCAACAGGAGCAAAACUCUGUCUCAAAAAACAAACAAAAAAUCCCAAGCACUUUACCCAAGAGGCCUGGCCCCUGCCCACCCUUUAUCUGAGAGGCCUGGCCCAUGCCCACCUAGGGGAUCCUUUGCUGUCACUCUGUGCUCCCUUGCACUCCAAGCCAAGUGGCCUUGGGCCAUCCUAGAAUCAGCCAAGGGCUUUUUCUCACCUCAGUGCCCUUGCAUGCUGUUUCCUCUGCCUGUGACACUGUUCCCCUGACUCCUUAGCUGGCCAGUUUCCUCCUCAUCCUUCAGGUUUCCUCUUAAACAUGCUUUCCCAAAAGAAGUCUGGAAUAUGCUCCUAGAGGUGGAGGGACAGAAGAAAUGCUAACUCCCACGGGGUCCCCGGGACCAUGGAAAGAGGAGUCAAUUUCUGAGUGCAAAGGGAAACCUUUGAAGGGCUGGGGUGUGGGUGGGGCGAUGCAGCAACCGGAUCUGAUUUACCUCCUCCUGAAAGGCUGCAGCACCCUCAUGGGAAACCACAGGGCCCGAGUGGCAACCGGGAGAGUUGGGGCGCUUGUACCAGUGACAGUGCAGAGGAGUGCAACUGGAGAGAGCUCAUGGGGUAUUUUGGAACCCACAGGACAUGCGGAAAUGCGGGAAGGAGUGGGAUGAGCGCCACAGGCAGCAGGGAAAAGAGUCAAGCGGGGUGGCGCGGUUUGCAGCCCCAGCAGGGGGGUGGGAGGUGGUACCAGUUUCCUAAAGUGGAGACCCAGGAAAGGCAGCAAGCAGGUGUGCUUUGGAAGGACCAGUUCUGGCGCAGCCCCUCUUCCUGUCGGCCCCCUUCCACCGUGCGCCUAGACACAGUGUGAGGGCGAAGGACCGCGCGGGCACCCCCAGCUCCGUGGCUGCGGUUCAGGUCGUCGGGGAGGCCUGGAUCGAGGCCCAGUGUCCCCGCGGCCCCCGCAGCCCUGGCUGCAGCACCGCCAAGGGCAAGAGCACGGCCAUGAUCAGGUAAGAGGCGGGUCCCACCUGCGAGCCAGUGAGCCACUCAGUCUCCUUGGGAAGGGCGAGGGUCAACGUGGCACCCCACAUUGCGCGGCUUGUGGGUGGAAGAGCGUGAAGGCCUAUCCUGUGCGAGGCUUCGGGCGCCUCGAGGCAGGGUUGGGGGGGCUGGGCGCGGGAGCUGUGUCUGCGCGGAAACGCCCGGCCCCGAGCCCGUACAAAGGCCGCUUUGUGCCCGCGGCCGGCGGAGGUGGGAGCUGCGCGUCCCCGGAGCCCCCUGCCCCGGCCCGUCCCACGGCCCCGAGGGGGCGCCCGCCACUUCGCCGCCGCCAGCGCUUGGCCCGGGGCGCCAAAGGGCUUGCCUCUUAAUUGUUCCCAGAACGGGUGGCAUUUAGGUCAAUUAAUAUGCAAAACAGGAGUAAAUCAUCUCAUUCGCGGGCCCCACGCGGGGCGGGGAGCAGAGGCAUUUGCUAGGCUGUGAGGUCGCGGCCCCUGCCGCGUGUUUAUCUGGGGAAAUGGAAAUCAGGCGGCGCACAAAGCCUCCCCGCGGGUCCGGCCGCGCCCUCCGCCGCCUGCGGCGGGGUCGCCGGCGCCCGUCGCGACUUGCGGCCGGGGUGGGCAGAUCGGCCAGCAAGCCUGUGGUCGCCUCUGGCCCUGUAGCCCAGAGGCUGUGCACCAUACGACUCCCUAAGUGCUUCCGAUUAGAGCUCGCGUGCUCCUGACCCGUUAUUAUGCUACCGAGCCUUGACUGAAGUCCAAAGCCUACUUGCUUUCCUGCAUUUAAUCCUCAAAAUCGCACUAAGAGGCAGGUGAUUAUUUCCAUUGUUCAGCUGAAGAAACCGAGGCAGAGAGGUGAAGAUCGUCACCUGGCCGGGACCAAGCACUUCCCCAUUACGGUGUGAGCCCCAGGCCUUUGUUAUUUCACCGGGCAGCUCCCUCCGCUAGGGAGACCGGCCCCUACAGGCAGAGUUCUGUGAGCCUGCUACACUACUGCACCGUCCUCCUCAUUCUUCCUGAAUUCCAGAAAUGUAACAGUACCCACUGUGCACCUGCACUCUUCUAGACUCUGGGGGUUCCGCAGUGAACAAAACAGGAGAUUCCAGCCCGCAGGACACCAGUGAGAGCACCUCCAGGAGAAGCCAGCAAGGUGACAGGGACUGGCUCCUCGAAGAAGGUGACACAUGAGCAGACAGCUGCUGGAGGUGAGAGAGGCUUCCAGGCAGAGGCAAUGGCCUUGAGGCUGCGGCAUAAGGAAGUCAGGGAGGCCGUUGUGUGAAGCAAAGGGGGAGGGAUGGAGACAAGGCAGAAGUGGCCAGGGCUGGCACUGGGGGUGCCGGCUCCAGCUCCAGCUGGACACUGAAUUCUCUGGAUUCUCUUGGUCUGCAGACAGUCUGUGCAUGGGGAAUUGUAAAGGUUUUUGCUUGGCUUAGCCUGGUUCAAGUGGCCACACCCUGAGCUAAUUGGCAACGGCCAGGGGCAGGUCAUAUACUGGAUGCACUCCCAUCAGCUGGACACCCACCCCAAUCGAUACCCACUACGCAAGAGGCCCCCAAACCUGAGCAGCAGACAAAGUCAAAAGCAGUCCAGGGAGCCAGGGUCCAAAAGCCAGAGACAUUUCUGAAGGUUGUCAAUCUGUGAGGAUUGGUACAGAGCCUGGAACUGAAGAUGUGGAUAACCUAUGUGCACUGGGGCCAGGGAUAAGGGCAUCAGGUGCCUAGACAUG